AGCGAACGCUGGCGGCAGGCUUAACACAUGCAAGUCGAGCGGGCACUUCGGUGUCAGCGGCAGACGGGUGCGUAACACGUGGGAACGUACCCUUUGGUUCGGAAUAACGCUGGGAAACUAGUGCUAAUACCGGAUACGCCCUUUUGGGGAAAGGCUUGCUGCCGAAGGAUCGGCCCGCGUCUGAUUAGCUAGUUGGUGGGGUAAUGGCCUACCAAGGCGACGAUCAGUAGCUGGUCUGAGAGGAUGAUCAGCCACACUGGGACUGAGACACGGCCCAGACUCCUACGGGAGGAAGCAGUGGGGAAUAUUGGACAAUGGGCGCAAGCCUGAUCCAGCCAUGCCGCGUGAGUGAUGAAGGCCUUAGGGUUGUAAAGCUCUUUUAUCCGGGACGAUAAUGACGGUACCGGAAGAAUAAGCCCCGGCUAACUACGUG
rnacentral:rRNA from 1 species